GGGUAUUGGUUCCAAGGCAGAAGAGCAGGAAGGGCUAGGCAAUGGGGUUAAGUGACUUGCCCAGGGUCACACAGCUAGGAAGUAUCUGAGCAUAGAUUGGAACCCAGGACCUCCUGUCUCUGGGCCUGUCCCCCCCCAAUGUGGACAACAUUGGUGUUUAAAGAAUAAACAAAAUAAAACCCAACAACUCUACAAGUACCCGUUUGGGAAGGUACGCCACAGCAGAGAAGAAAAGGUACUGGAGGUAAUAGGGAGCCCCUGGAGUUUAUUGAGGAAGGGGAACAACACGGUCAGACCUACAUUUUAGGAAGAUUGGCAGCUGAGCGGAGAACUCACUGGAGUGAAGAAGACUGGAGUCGGGACACCAACCAUCAGGCUGUUGAAAUUAUUUGCAGGCACCCUGCUGCUUCUGAGACCCCCCCCAGGGGAAAUGACUUGUCCAAGGUCCCCUAGACACAGCCUGCGUCUACCUUGAGACAAAGGGAAGCUCAGAUUUGAGAGCAGGGCUCCCCCCGGACCUCCACCCCAACCCUCGUCGGCCCCGUCGCGUCCCCGCGGCUCCAAAGAGGACGACACAAAGACAUUGCAGCCGGCAGCGUGCCUGCCCCGCCAUACUCCCCCCACCCCCACCCCGCAAACCUACUCUCUCCGCCCUCCCCCUCCCACCCCGGGGCAGCGCCUGUGUGUAAUUUGUCAGGACCGCUUGGCUUCCGCGAUCUGUACCUCAUGUCUCCGCUGUCAUCUGACAUAAUUCCUCCUCGCUGGCAUAUUGGAGGAGGAGGAAGAGGCAGCUUCCCGAGUCUUCAGCCCGCGCUGGCUCGCCUGGGCUCACUAACUUGCUUUGGACCGUGUGCCCCGGGGCGAGCCGGACACUUCACUCCCAGCUGAGGGGAGAGCACCUGGCUCCAAAUGCGCUGCAAAGAGCUCGGGGCCAGGAGGUGCAGGACCUCGCGCGGAAUCCCGCCCGCCACCGGUGCCAACGGCCCCUCGGACAUUUGGGUCGUCUGGAAAACCGGGGAGGGAGACGGCACAAAACAUCCCGCAUUCCGUCCGACCCCCCUUCCUUCCAGUUCCGAAAUUCUUUGUGUAAACGACGUGUUCUCGAGCCCCUCCCAGCUCAGCUAGUUCAUACUGCGUUCUUUGUUGCAAGAACCCAGGCAAUAAUUCUCAAUGAACUUGAUGAACUUUGGGUGAGAUCCCCUCCGUCUCCCUUGCCCCAAGCUUGGGUCUUAGUUUUCCCAUCUGCAAAAUGAGUGAAGUUGUACUAGAUAAUCUCGAAGGGCUCUUCUAGCUCAAACGUUCUAGGUUCCAACGUUCUAUGUUCAAAGGUCUCUUUUGCCUCUGCCUUUCUUUGUUAAAACAAUCCUUUUCCCAAAGACCCUGGUCGAAGCUCUGACAUUGGAGGUCCUUUGUUUUAACAUUCUGAGAAAUUCUUUGACUAACUUGUUUCAUUAACUUGGAGAGAGGGGUUUUCGUAUGGUUUGC
rnacentral:lncRNA from 1 species